rnacentral:rRNA from 1 species
AUGCCUAAUCUGACCCAUCUGACUCUUGAAUUCAUUAGACUCGAUGACGAGGACCUGAGCAAGCUGAAUGAAUGCUUCCCUUGCCUUCAGAUUCUCAAUCUUAUCGGAGUCGGGGGUCUCGAAAAUCCCAAGAUUCACCUCUCUCAAGUAAAGACUUUCCGCUGGGAGGUAUCAAAUGCUCCGUGGUCCUUAGCUAUCCAUGCGCCGAACUUGGUUCAUCUCGAGUUGAAGUGUGUUGAACCAGAGAUCCUCAUUUUAGACACUCCUUCCGUGUCUACUCUGAAGCUGACCAUUGAUGAACUCGGUCCAACUGUCCAAGUUGACGGCCUAGCGAGUUUGAAAAAUCUUCGAAUCGAGUCCUCGGAUCUGAAGUCCCUCCUGCAGCUGUUUGCAAGUGAUCGGGAUAUCAGGACAUUAGAUCUUGAGCUACCAGUUUCUGUGAACUGCGUAGACCUUUACCAUGAGGUGAAGCCAGACUACCUUGUCCAAUUGUUCUCCAGAAUCACUGAAGUGAAGCUGUCACCAAGGUUUUCAUGUGUACUGAUGAGCCUCCUAUGCCUCUGUAUGAAACAUGCGUCUGCAGGCCGUUUGGAGAAACUUCUGGUCCAUCUACCGGCAUCGGGCAUCACUGCUUGUCCGUUCGUGCCGUUGCUUAGUGUGAGCGCGCCGUCGUGCGAGGUGACUGUUCUUUUCCAUGCUGAUACCAACGAUGCUGUUCGUCAAGCUGCUGCAUCAGUCUGGCCAUCAUCCAUUCGGGGACUCCCAAGGUUUCCGGAGAUCACAUGGCGAUGGGGUACUUGGCAGUGA